UACGUAGGGGGCAAGCGUUGUCCGGAUUUAUUGGGCGUAAAGAGCGUGUAGGCGGCCAGGGAGGUCCGUUGUGAAAACUCGAGGCUCAACCUCGAGACGCCGAUGGAAACCCUCCAGCUAGAGUCCGGAAGAGGAGAGUGGAAUUCCUGGUGUAGCGGUGAAAUGCGCAGAUAUCAGGAGGAACACCAAUGGCGAAGGCAGCUCGCUGGGACGGUACUGACGCUGAGACGCGAAAGCGUGGGGAGCAAACAGG
rnacentral:rRNA from 1 species